rnacentral:rRNA from 1 species
GACAUAGGUGGCAAACGUUAUCCGGAAUUAUUGGGCGUAAAGGGUGCGUAGGUGGUUUAAUAAGUUAUUGGUGGGAAAACGGGGCCCAACUCCGUGGAAGCUAGUAAUACUAUUAGACUAGAGGACCGGAGAGGUUAACGGAAUGGCUCGUGUAGGGGUAAAAUUUGUUGAUAUCAGGAGGAACACCUAAAGCGAAGGCAAUUCUCUGGUACUCCACUGACGUUGAGGUGCGAGAGCGUGGGGAUCAAAAGGG